GUGGGGAAUCUUGCGCAAUGGGCGAAAGCCUGACGCAGCCAUGCCGCGUGAAUGAUGAAGGUCUUAGGAUUGUAAAAUUCUUUCACCGGGGACGAUAAUGACGGUACCCGGAGAAGAAGCUCCGGCUAACUUCGUGCCAGCAGCCGCGGUAAUACGAAGGGGGCUAGCGUUGCUCGGAAUUACUGGGCGUAAAGGGCGCGUAGGCGGACAGCUUAGUCAGAGGUGAAAGCCCAGGGCUCAACCUUGGAAUUGCCUUUGAUACUUGCUGUCUUGAGUUUGGGAGAGGUGAGUGGAACUCCGAGUGUAGAGGUGAAAUUCGUAGAUAUUCGGAAGAACACCAGUGGCGAAGGCGACUCACUGGCCCAAUACUGACGCUGAGGCGCGAAAGCGUGGGGAGCAAACAGGAUUAGAAACCCCUGUAGUCC
rnacentral:rRNA from 1 species